rnacentral:rRNA from 1 species
UCCAAGUCAGGGGUGAAAGCCCGGGGCUCCACCCCGGAACUGACUUUGAAACUAGGUGACUAGAAUCUUGGAGAGGUCAGUGGAAUUCCGAGUGUAGAGGUGAAAUUCGUAGAUAUUCGGAAGAACACCAGUGGCGAAGGCGACUGACUGGACAAGUAUUGACGCUGAGGUGCGAAAGCGUGGGGAGCAAACAG